UGAGAGUACAGCGGCGGACGGGUGAGUAACGCGUAGGAAUCUACCUGGUAGUGGGGGACAACUCGGGGAAACUCGAGCUAAUACCGCAUACGCCCUAAGGGGGAAAGCGGGGGAUCUUCGGACCUCGCGCUAUUGGAUGAGCCUGCGUCGGAUUAGCUUGUUGGUGGGGUAAAAGCCCACCAAGGCGACGAUCCGUAGCUGGUCUGAGAGGAUGAUCAGCCACACUGGAACUGAGACACGGUCCAGACUCCUACGGGAGGCAGCAGUGGGGAAUAUUGCGCAAUGGGGGCAACCCUGACGCAGCCAUGCCGCGUGUGUGAAGAAGGCCCUAGGGUUGUAAAGCACUUUCAAUUGGGAAGAAAAGCUGUACGUUAAUAGCGUGCAGCCGUGACAUUACUUUUAGAAGAAGCACCGGCUAACUCCGUGCCAGCAGCCGCGGUAAUACGGAGGGUGCGAGCGUUAAUCGGAAUUACUGGGCGUAAAGCGCGCGUAGGCGGUCUGGUCAGUCGGAUGUGAAAGCCCCGGGCUUAACCUGGGAAUUGCAUUCGAUACUGCCAAACUAGAAUGUUGGAGAGGGAAGUGGAAUUUCCGGUGUAGCGGUGAAAUGCGUAGAGAUCGGAAGGAACACCAGUGGCGAAGGCGGCUUCCUGGCCAAACAUUGACGCUGAGGUGCGAAAGCGUGGGUAGCGAACAGGAUUAG
rnacentral:rRNA from 1 species